CCCGGGCUGCCGGCCGGCCCGGGGGGGGGAGGGGAUAAGGGCGGGUGGCUCCCACUCCCGGACCCGGGCCUCGAUCGCCCCCGGGACUGCGCGGAGGACGGAGAGCCCAGGGGGCGCCCCGGGCCGUUCGUGCCCUGGGUCUGUGCCGCCCGAAGCUCCUUGAGCGCGAUCCUGCGUGCCCUCGGCACCGCCCGGCCCGCCUGGCGUGCGCCACGCGUGUGCGCUGCGCCCCGGCCCGGGGUCCCCCGCCCGUCCCCGCGCAGCUCUCUCGGGUGAUGAGGCGACAGCUCGUUAGGAUCGGAGAAUCCGCGCCCUCCCGCCCGGGCGUGCCCGCGCCACCCUUCCUUCUUCCCUGGGCUGCGCUUCGCUCGCUCCUAGAUCACCGCCUCCUGUGCUUGCGGGGCCGCAGCAGAUGCCACAUCGUCAGUUGCUAAUGAAGAGGGGCAUCUGGAAGUCUAAGAUCUCUGAGAGCUGCAGGGACUCCGGACUUGUUUGAAAGUGUUAAGAAGCUUGAAUCCGAAGACUGCAGGGAAAUAGGGGUACCAAGGCUCACAGUAGAAGACCAACACUGCUAUGUAUCCUUGGGCUGCUCCCUGGAGCUCUGCCUUCCCUGUAUUGAUGACAGCAGUGCAGCUGUACUGGAUGAGCAGAAGGAACUGGGAGAGGUCGUCCAGACCCAGAGAGAACACUGACUGGUUCUCCCAGCCAGUUUGCCACAUCUGUACUCAUCUGUCAUUCAUUUAUGCUUGUGGAACCCAGCUCUGCAUUCCUGGUCCCAAACUAAAGAAACACAGACGACCUGCAGCCCCAAGAAACAGCACAACCAGCAGUCUUUGUGGGAUCUGAUUUAUCGGGAUAGCCUACAGCAGGACACAAGGAAGAACUUGGACCUAUCACCAAGCACUGCUCCAAUCUGAUAGGAUCACCAUAAGCAUCUUCAAAGUGAUAAGCUGCAGGUAGAAGGGUGUCUGUGCAGACGUUUCACUUCCCAUCUUUAAGAGGCAUACUCCCUGAGAGAGAUGCCAGGAGAUGGAGGGGAACCUUUGAUGUCACAGGCUCAGCAGUCUGUUGAGGGGUUUGCUGAAGAUUGCCAUAGGAAAGAGAAAUGGCCCACAGCACAAGCCAGUAGGAACCAUGACCUCUACCCUGGGGGACCUCUGAGUCUUAGUGACAGACCAGAACAGGAACAGAGGAAGCCAGGACUCCCAACACUUCUGAUGAAAAUCCCCAAUGGAAUAUGUAGAUAGAAUGUUUUGUUUAAUCAGAAUCCUUCCUGUCUCCAUCAUAGCCUUCAAGAAUAUUGUUGACAAGAAAUAGAUAUUUCAUCCACAAAGUGGCUUCCUGGCUCCUAUUCCACCUUCUCCAAAAUGAAGCCCUUUUGUAUGCUAAUGAGAUGAACUGUGGCUAGGGGCUCCUGGAAAACCUUAGUGACUGGCUGAUUGCCAAGGGAAAUGACCACGUAGUUAGAAGGUGGGCAGUUUCAACUCGACUCUCUGACCUCCAGGAAGAAGCCCGCUGGGCCUGCUGGGUCUCCAUUGUCCAGUGAUUUAGCCAUUUGUGCUUUUCACAUGAGGCCUCCUGGUUCACAGAGCUCCCACAUUGCUGAACACUACGAGGUGACUGGCAGGUGGCAUUCAUAUUGUGAGGGACUCUGGAGUUCUAUACCACAUGUCUCAUAUCCCAAUCCCCCAUGUCUUGUCUUUCCAUGCACAUCUACUCCAUCUGGGGGCUUUCUUUCUUCCUUCUUUUCUUCCUUCUUUUCUUCCUUCCUUCCUUCCUUCCUUUCUUUUUUUCUUUUUCCUUUUGUUCCUUAUAUCAAAGUCUUUUAUAAUAAGUGGAAAACUAGAAAGUACAUCCCUGAAUUCUGUGAGGUAUCUAACAAAGUGCUGAACUCACAGAGGGGCUUUGUAACCACCAAAUCUGUAGCCAGUGGGCCAGGGACAGAGGUCAUAACACGGGUCAAGUAACUGGUUUCUGAAGCAGGGCCAUUCUGGAGGACAGGACUGAGCUGGUAGCUGGUAGAUAUAAUUCUAACUCCAAACAGUGUCAGAACUAAAUUGAACUACAGCAUACUCAGUUGGGGUCAGAGAUCUGGUUGGUAGAAGGGCAGAAAAAUCAAUACACAUUUUGGUGUCUAGAGGUUGAAUUAUUUGGUGUCCAGAGAGGAUGGAGAAAGAAAAAGAGUUGGUUUGUCCUAUUACAGAGUUAUAGUUGACAUCUUUGUAGAACACAUCAUUGAGUCUCAAGAUAUCUGUCACAGAGAGGAAAAGGCAACUUGCCCAUGAACAAAUCUCAUCAGGAAGUUUCUUCCUUACAGGAGACUUGAUUUAGACUGCCUGGCUGGACCAUGAUUUUUCAUCCUCACCCCGGGGGAAGGGAGAGUUCUGCUCCAGGGAAAGAUGGCAUUUCAGGAUACUUCAGCUGCUGACUUUGGCCCAAACAAAUACAAACCCUUUUCUUCUACCCUUAAAGCUACACCUGUGCCCGUCCAGCUGUGGGAAGUUGGCUGAGGUAAAGACCAUGCAGCACAAUGGAGACCUUUUUCCUGAAACAAACUGGCCCUUCAGCUUCCAGAAGCCAUCCUAUAACUUUCCUCUGGAGGGAAUCAAUAGCAUGCCAGAUGCCCUAAACUCUAGUCACAUAUGUAAACUGUUGUGAGAGAUAAGUCUCCAGCAAGAGCUCCACUAGGGAAGCAUGCACCCACUGCAGUUCACAGUCCCACAGAAUCUUUAAAGAAGGGUUUGCCUCCUUCUGUAAACCCCACCAGUAAUAGGCGUAUGUCCCAGACAUAGAUUUUGCUAUCUCUAUCCUUAAUUCAAUACUGUUUUUCUUCUUCUUCUUCUCAGCUUGCUCUUCACUUGGAAUCCUCCCUCUGAGGGCAGUCAGAGAACAGUCUGUGGCUGUGCCCUUGGGACCACAGUUUUAAAUAGCCUGCAAUCUAAUUAUUUUUAUGACCAAAUUUUUAUUAGACUGUAGAGCCACCUCUGGGAUUAUGU